rnacentral:rRNA from 1 species
CGUACACGGUGGAUGCCCUGGCAUUCAGAGGCGAUGAAGGACGUGCUAAUCUGCGAUAAGCGUCGGUAAGGUGAUAUGAACCGUUAUAACCGGCGAUUUCCGAAUGGGGAAACCCAGUGUGAUUCGUCACACUAUCAUUACGUGAAUACAUAGCGUAAUGAAGCGAACCGGGGGAACUGAAACAUCUAAGUACCCCGAGGAAAAGAAAUCAACCGAGAUUCCCCCAGUAGCGGCGAGCGAACGGGGAGCAGCCCAGAGUCUGAAUCAGCUUGUGUGUUAGUGGAACGGUCUGGAAAGUCCGACGAUACAGGGUGAUAGUCCCGUACACCAAAAUGCACAGGUUGUGAACUCGGAGAGUAGGGUGGGACACGUGGUAUCCUGUCUGAAUAUGGGGGGACCAU